AAUCCUCAUUGGCUGAGCCUGUUACUUCCUGCUCAGCCAGCCAAUAGAAGCCUGAGUCUCCAAUGGCCUGGGCCUGCUCUUAGUGAUCAUAUUAUGGAAGUCAGCAUGUAAAAAACUCCCUGUUUCUUAUAAAGAAAGGGAAAUCAGAGGCUGUUGUUCAAGACCCCUGUGGAGGUUAAGGCUGCAUCAUCCCUGAUCCCCCAAAAGAUAUCUAACACAUUGCCCCCCUCAGGUUCAGGAGAGCCUUGUUGGCUCUUCACUCAACACCUGCAAACCCUGGCACUAGCAUUCUUGGUACCAAUUCAGCAUCCUGCAAGAAGAAAAGGUGCAGAAUGGAGCCAGCAGUCAGCAUGGCUUGUGUAGUGCUGGUGGAGACCACGUGACCGACAGAGACAGAAGCAUGGCGAGUGAUUGCCCCAUUGUGGAGCCUGGAUAAGAUCAACCUUUCAGUGCUGUAGAACUCCAUGGAAACUGUUUCACUUGAUAGAAGUUGGGAACAAACGAACUUAUGAACACCAAUUCUCUCCUGAGUCAGGAAAAAGGAAAAGGAGAAGACAGGUGAGGAGAACAACAUGGAAGCACUAAGGUAGCGACCAAGGAAGGAGGAGAAGAGGAGGGAAGAAGGAAGUGCUCUGAGUAUCAGGGCUGAGAUUCUUCUGCAAGCCAUGGUGAGGACUAUAAUACACCAAACUGUUUCCCUGUGAUUCAUGAAUCACAUGCAUGGGGGGAUGCACCACUCACCCUCAGCCCAUGAGAAAAAGGCCCUCAUGCUGGAGCGUGUGGAUGUGAAAAGCUGGUGAGAGGCUUGAACAGAGAGAGAGAGAGAGAGAGAGGGUGUUUUCUUCCAAAAACAAAGGAAGAGGGCACUUGAUUUUAUACUCUAGAACAGUUCAUCCUUUAAAACUGCACCCCAUAAAAUAAAUAGCCCCCAAAAAGCAGUUGUGGAAAGACUGGAAGCCAUGGGAGUGACUUCAUGUUGCAGAUUUUGGGCAGACUGUUAUUUGUGAAAAUUAAAACUUCAUUGAAAAAGUUCACAGAGAACUGUCUCCCAUGGGAAGGACUCCAUAACAUAGCAAAAGAGACUCUUCUCCUUAAGUGAACUGCAGGAAUAUUUUUAGAACUGACAAACUGAUUAAAGAUCCCAUGUUUUUUCUCCCUGUGCUGUCAGUGGGAAGGAAAGAAGGGUUGGGGGGGAGGAAAGGUGUUCUAAAUGUUUAUUUUUAGUUCUCAUUAUCCUCUUUUAAUUCUGUUAAUAAUUUUUUCUUUAUAUCUUUUAAAGUUUUAAGCCUGUUUUGCUCUUAAAGUGUUUUCUCCUAAUCCUUAUCUUACCCCACCAGUUUUCUUUCCCCCAUCCACUUAACUAUAGCAGAGGAAAAUGAGUAAAUUAUUUUCGUGGGUGCACUGGCAUUUGGCCAGCAUCAACCCAUUACACUUAUCUUGUGAAAAAUGUUUUAAUAUCAAAAGCAUGGAAAAAGCAGAAAAACUACUGAUAUUCUUAUCUUUGCUUACCUUUUUCUUAUCUUUUAUGUGUCUUUCAUUGCAUUAUAGUCUGUCUUUGUUUAAUUCUGUCUUGCUAUUCCUCUACAGACAAGUAAAUACCAGCAUAAUGCAUAACAAGAUAUCAUGCCACUGUGCUAUGUAAACUUUUACUUGUGCUAUAUUUCAAAAACGGAGCUCUGAUAUGAAUUGAAAAUGUGCCUCAUCAAUUGAGAUACCCAUAAAUUAUAUUUAGCAGGCAAAAUAUUCAAAACCAGCUGUGGGUGGAAGUAACACAAAAAAAACCUGUAGGACAUUUGUCUUCACUUUUUGCGUCUGUGUACAGAUAGAUACUCUUCACAGAUCACCUCUAUAUGCACAUUUGACUUUCAUUAAUGUUGCCGUAUACAUAGAACAGUAUCCCUGACCAGGCUGGCAAAUAUCUGAAAGUCUUGAGAAAAAAGAAAAAUUGUUAUUAAGGAUGUGCACUUUCUAUUUACAGAUGAACCUUAGGCUCCUGAGACAAAUAUAUUCAAUGUGCCUUUGCUAGCCAUAAAUAUGAGCCUGAUAUCUAGUCAUGAAAAUUCUUUUAUGGGCUUGACCCGCAGGUGACAGGAAAGACAUAAAAUGUAAAGGUAUAACGCUUGAGAGGUGAAUUGAUCCUUCCCAAACAAAAGCAAGAACUUGAGAUUAGAUGGGAGUAUUCUACUGUCUACAGUCCAUUUAUUGUUUUGAAUGCUCUCACUUGUGCUAAGAUAACUAGGAGAUGGGGGACUCCAUGCUAAAUGGAAUUAAAUGCUUCUCAAAUAAGUUGAGGGAACAAAUGAAAUGUAGAUCCUUUUAUUGCCUUUCUACCAGGAAGGAAAGAUGAAUUGUGGCACACAUUUUCCUCAGUUUUGUUAGUUUUCAAAGAUUUCAUCUUGCUAUUUUUAAUACAAAUGGUUAUUACUGAGAAAUUUCCUUUCUUCUCAAGGUACUCCAAGGCAUCUAAUCAGAUUAAUUGCUUCAAUUUCUUCUUCUUUUACACCAUCUUUUAGUUUUGGGCAUGAUGUCUAUCAGAAGCCUAAAGGCUCUAUUAAUUAAGAUCUGGUAGUCAAGGAAAUGUUAGCUGUGGAGCCUCUCUGAAAUCUUAAGUCUGCACUGUCAUGAGAAGGAAUCUGCUCAGUCUGUGCUUUCUUCCUAUUACAUUAUCACAAGUGUUUGUAAAAAGAGCAGGCUAAGAGCACUCUCUUCUGAGCAGCUACUGGACAGCAGUGUUCUAAGACUAGGGAGGAAUCUCAUGGACAAGAUUUUCAAAUGUGACUGCUGAUUCAGUGUUUCUCCAUCUAGGAUUUUAAACCUGAAAUACCUUCAAGGAAACGUAAAUUUUAGAAGCUAUAUUCUUAAUGUGAGAGUCAAGCUUUCCUAGACUAUUCCAGUGUGGUUUUUGUUUUAUUAGUAGGUUUAUUGUUUGAUUUGUAAUUUAGUAGUUUUCUUUAUGCUGUUUCCUUUUGCUCCUGCUUCUUUCCAGAACAUUCGUCACUUUUCUUGUUGUUAGUUGCUAGUUUCUAUUUCCCCAAACUUUAUCAGUUUACUGAUAUUGUUCUCCUCCCUUGGAAAUUUUAUUGGUUUAUACACUGUGGUUCCCACCUGGUUUUUUACUCCCAGUUCUCCUGAUUUGUUAAAUAUUGUACCCUCCCCUGAGACCUGCCCCCACAUAUAAGUUCUUCUCUGCCCCUUGUUCCUGGUCCCCAGGAUGAAGAGGGGAAGUUUCACCAUCAAAGAAAGUUACCCUGGGACCUGUAUGCUGCUCUGUGUUUUAUGAUGCACCAACACUGGCACCUGGGAUUCAAUGGGGCUCGAGUGGGGGAUCUUCUGCCCCCUCUUCCCCCCACCUCCUGUCAUCAGCUAGACAGGAGGAGGAGCGGCAGUAGAUAUUUCAGAUUUUCUACCAAAACUACUGAUUUCCUGCCAUUGUAAUGUCCCCUGGGUAUGUAGUGUAAGUUAGUAAUUUGAACUUAUGCUAUUUAGUAUGCUGUCUUUAGAUAAACUAAUAGUAUCUAAUUUAGUUAGUAUAAGUGCAUUUGAUAGGCCAAUACUACAGUAUUCAAGAUAACAGAAGUAAAAAAAAAUAUUCAGAAGACUACAACAAAACUUUUUCUACUUUAUAUUAGCAAGAGACAGAACCUUUGGAAGAGAAAUGUUUUCUCUCAAUUGAUGUUACACUAUUGAAUAAAUGACUUUUUGCUUA